rnacentral:rRNA from 1 species
UACGUAGGCAGCAAGCGUUGUUCGGAAUUAUUGGGCGUAAAGGGCGCGUAGGCGGCGCCACAAGUCACCUGUGAAAACUCUGGGCUUAACUCAGAGCCUGCAGGCGAAACUGUGGUGCUGGAGUAUGGGAGAGGUGCGUGGAAUUCCUGGUGUAGCGGUGAAAUGCGUUGAUAUCAGGAGGAACACCCAUGGCGAAGGCAGCAUACUGGCCGGCAUCUGACGCUGAGGCGCGAAAGCGUGGGUAGCAAACAGG